rnacentral:lncRNA from 7 species
AGUAACUGUGAGCAGCUGGUGGGAGUCAGUUUUGGCUGUUUGAUUUCCUAGUGACUCUGAGUGCUCAGCCUUUUCUGGAACAUUUGCACAGCAGCUCUGCUGAUGGCUCAGCUGUGGAAGCAGCUGUGGUAGGCCAGGCCUUUCUCCACACAGAGCCCGUCCUGCAGCUGCUGCUGCCAGCACCUGGCUGCUCACAACAAAAGGUUUGGGGAGAAAAUGAAGGAGAGCUCAUUACCACACUGCAGAAACCCUGAUCUGCUGUCCUCACACCAAGAUCAUAUGGAUGCUGAACCAAGAGGAUGACAUGUCCCAUCUUGCAGCUCGAUGUGUCCACUACCAGAAUUUACUCUUCAAUAGCAGAAAAAAAUGCCAAGUAUUUUAUUGAAAACCAAUAUAAUCAUCAGCAAUAAGAUCCAUUGGAGAAAGUGUAUAGAAGAAAAAAGAAGUAUGGUGACAGGAAAAUAUUCUGUUUUGGGUCAAAGGCUACCCUUUUGUCUUUGUUCUGCAUGAUAUGAUUUCUGCAUCUGCACUUUAGUAGCCAUAAUUUGCUUAGUGAUGAAUAUAGGAACAACUGUAGGAGAACAGAUGGUGUCCAUAUUCGUCUGGAUUUUCUUUCAGCCAAGAUUUUGUUUAUCUCUCACAGCAGAUUCUGUUGCUCAUCUCCUUUCCACUUUAAAUCAUUGAAUAAUAUUCAACAAUUCGAAAACUUACAUUACAUAUAAUUCAGGACAGCAUGGAAAAUUAGUCAAUAUAAAAUUUACAAAAAAAAAAAUCAUAAUUAUUUCUACAACAUCAUAAGUUUUCUCAUGUAUUUAUCUUGGUCAUUAUAAUAUUUUGUUCAUCUGCUGACUUCUAAAGUACUUCAAAGCUAAGUGACUAAAAUUACUACUUAUAUCUGCUGGCAGACAGUAUGCAACUCCUGGCAUCAUUACUGUCUUUACCUGUUUUUACCUGCUGUUUCAUAAUUUUAUGUCUAACUUGAUAGCAUAUUUAGAUUAAAUGGAAAUGUUGAAAGCAUUCUAGUUCAAAAGAAGAGCUCCAAACUCAGAUUAUUCAAAAAUCUCCCCAUCUCCUAAAAUUCAAGAACAUAUGGUGGUUCAUCCAUGAUUAUUUUUGUUAAAAUGAGUUUGAUUUAAUGAGUCAAUGAAAUUAAAGAUUUCUUUUUCUGGCAGCUUGCCCUCUUAAAAUUCAAGGUCAAUGCACAGCAUUGAUGCAAUUGCACAGGCAGUCCAUCUAUGUUCUACAGGUGACAGUCAUGUUGAAAAUAAACCCACAUCAUUAUGUAUUUUUAAUGCACAACAGAAGUAAUAAUCAAAAAACAAGCUCAGAGAAGACGAGAGCAUAAGCAUAUUUAAUGUUACUUUGAUAAGUAGUUGAGCUAUUUUUUAGUAUAUAGUUGAGCUAUCAAAACUUUUUACUUUGAGGAAAUCCUGUUUAACUUAUUACUACUAUGUGCAUCUAUUCAAAUGUUGUGCUCUAUCUUUUUGGUUUGUGAAAUGCUUGACAUAAUGAAGAUUUAAACAGCUGUUAAGGAUUAAUAAAUCAGCAUUCACCUGGAAUGCUUUC